UACGAAGGGGGCGAGCGUUGCUCGGAAUGACUGGGCGUAAAGGGCGCGUAGGCGGUAUUGACAGUUAGACGUGAAAUUCCUGGGCUCAACCUGGGGGCUGCGUUUGAUACGUCGGGACUGGAGUGCGGAAGAGGGGCGUGGAAUUCCCAGUGUAGAGGUGAAAUUCGUAGAUAUUGGGAAGAACACCGGUGGCGAAGGCGGCGACCUGGUCUGUGACUGACGCUGAGGCGCGAAAGCGUUGGGAGCAAACAGG
rnacentral:rRNA from 1 species